UAGGAGCAAUGAGAUGGUACCGGCUUCAACUGCUGUCAGAGGGUGGCGCUCUAUACCAAAGAAACAGACUUUCCAAGAAAACCCAUCAGCCAUGCUGUGCCUUCUAGAUGCAGCCAUGAUAAAUUUACUGUCGUUUGUAAUGAAAUGAACUGUGCUUUUCAGACCUUGAUCAAGGACAAAGAGACUUAAAAUAUUUUCUCUUGAGGUUAAAUUAAUGUUGCUUUUCAACGAGUGUUAACUGGACUAUUGGACCGACCUGUGAUAAUUAUUUUCUGUAGGGGGCAAAUGACAGACUUUUAAUUACUGCCAUAAUGUCUUAACACCUUCAGUGACAGUAAAGAGGGCUGGAACAGGGAAAAGUCCGUUUUCAUAGGCUUAUACCAGUUAUUUUGAGGAAGUAACUAAUAAUGCUCUUUAUAAUAUAGGGGAAGACGUCUGCCACUACAGAAUAGUUUCCAACAAAGUUGAGGCCAAGACAUAGGACACUUGUACGGUUUUCUUGCAUUCAUUAAAGUUUGUCCCUCUGUCGAACUUUCACCCCUCGAACUCCCUCCUUUCAUUGGACAAAGUGCAGAAAUAAGAAAAGAAAGCUUUUUCUGCCUCAAUUGUAAUGAGAUAGUUUACAACUAGACAUUUUUACUUUAUGGCAAUCCGCUUGUGUCGACCCUUUCUGCUAAAACUAAUCCAUAAUCUCCCAGCAAAAUUGCAUUAUUGGACUUGGUUGCUGUGUAACGAAUAUGACUUCAGUUCUGUUCAAAUUCUGUAAAGAUCUGCAAUGAAUAUUGUUUACCCAGCAGGUGGAUAUGACGUCACGGACAUGGAACAUCAGAAAAUAACAACAUCCAAAUACGCGAUUCCGUUUUCUUUUAUAGCGCAUUAAAUUGUGAUAACAUUAGAAGGAGCUCGCUCUCUUAUUUGAGACAGAAGGUGUUGUGAAACUCUAGAUUUUUCUCCCUGUAACGGCACUCUCCGUGAAUGCAGCAGAGAUAUCUUCUCGUAGUUAAAGUUAGUCCCCCCAAGCGGAGUAAUAUUGUUAGUAUUUACAGUGUGGUUGUUGCAUGCUUUCUUGGUACACAACAUCGCGUGUACAGUUCAUUAUCUCUAGCAGAGAAUUGUCUACUGCGUCCACCUACCAUUGUCGAUUCCGCCAAUAGACUCCAGUGGUGACCCCCUUUGGAUACAGAAAUCAAAGUAAGUGACUAGAGUAAGACCCCAUUGACACA
rnacentral:lncRNA from 8 species